rnacentral:rRNA from 1 species
GAUGAACGCUGGCGGCGUGCCUAAUACAUGCAAGUCGAGCGAACGGACGAGAAGCUUGCUUCUCUGAUGUUAGCGGCGGACGGGUGAGUAACACGUGGAUAACCUACCUAUAAGACUGGGAUAACUUCGGGAAACCGGAGCUAAUACCGGAUAAUAUUUUGAACCGCAUGGUUCAAAAGUGAAAGACGGUCUUGCUGUCACUUAUAGAUGGAUCCGCGCUGCAUUAGCUAGUUGGUAAGGUAACGGCUUACCAAGGCAACGAUGCAUAGCCGACCUGAGAGGGUGAUCGGCCACACUGGAUCUGAGACACGGUCCAGACUCCUACGGGAGGCAGCAGUAGGGAAUCUUCCGCAAUGGGCGAAAGCCUGACGGAGCAACGCCGCGUGAGUGAUGAAGGUCUUCGGAUCGUAAAACUCUGUUAUUAGGGAAGAACAUAUGUGUAAGUAACUGUGCACAUCUUGACGGAACCUAAUCAGAAAGCCACGGCUAACUACGUG